rnacentral:rRNA from 1 species
GUCCACGCCGUAAACGUUGGGCACUAGGUGUGGGGAUCUAUCGACGGUUUCCGUGCCGUAGCUAACGCAUUAAGUGCCACGCCUGGGGAGUACGGCCGCAAGGCUAAAACUCAAAGGAAUUGACGGGGGCCCGCACAAGCGGCGGAGCAUGUGGCUUAAUUCGAUGCAACGCGAAGAACCUUACCAAGGCUUGACAUUCCGGGUAAUCCGUGGAAACACGGUGAUCCUUCGGGAUCCGGAACAGGUGGUGCAUGGCUGUCGU